ACGCUCGUUAUUAUAUAGACAAGACACGACACGGCAGGACAGGACGAGACUGGGUCCGUCCGUCUGGCAGGCGGGCAGGCAGGCAGGCAGGCAGGAUGUCAACGCAAAUUCAAGUGAAAUGAUGCACAAGGAAAUAAUAGAGAAAAGAAAAGGAUUGCUACCGGAUGAAUGCACUUCAUUUGAAGUAGAAGUGGAAGGAAUGCAGUCCUAGUCCUCAUUGUUAGACAGGACUGGAGCUGGAGCCGGAGCGCACACCGAAGGCAGCGCCCAAGUCAAGCCCAAAGGAUUACAGACUUUGAGGGGUAAGCAGAGCCGUCACUCCUUUACUCCUUCUCUCCCAAGGGAUUGAGGUUUCGCGGGAAAAGGCUGAGGGAAGGACAGCCAUAAAGCAGAGACCGGUGGGCAUUAGAAGCGGGACAAUCGAUGUGAAGGCAGUGGAAGCUGCCAGAGAGAAGUCUUUUCAUAAUACACUUGAAGAAAUGGUUAGCCCCAACUUUAAUCCAUGUAUAAAACCCUUUAAAAUAAAUGUUAUGCAUUAAUGUGCGUGUGAGCAAGUCGCACAAUCAAACCACCAA